rnacentral:rRNA from 1 species
AGUCCACAUCGACGGGGGGGUUUGGCACCUCGAUGUCGGCUCAUCACAUCCUGGGGCUGUAGUAGGUCCCAAGGGUUGGGCUGUUCGCCCAUUAAAGUGGUACGCGAGCUGGGUUCAGAACGUCGUGAGACAGUUCGGUCCCUAUCCGGCGCAGGCGUAGGAAAUUUGAGAAGACCUGUCCUUAGUACGAGAGGACCGGGAUGGACGUACCUCUGGUGUACCAGUUGUCCUGCCAAGGGCAUGGCUGGGUAGCUAUGUACGGAAUGGAUAAGCGCUGAAAGCAUCUAAGCGCGAAGCCAACUUCAAGAUAAGAUUUCCCACCGCAAGGGUAAGACCCCAGAAAGACUAUCUGGUUG